UUCCGAUUGGCAUUCCGGGAGAUGAUUGCCUAUUAGGGCACCGCGACGGUUGUCACGGGCUCGAGGGGAGUUCCGGGUCGUAAGAAGAAGCAACAUCAAGAGCAACAUGAAAAGUAACAUUGAGAGCAACAUGAGGAGAAGCAACAUCAAGAGUAGCAUGAGAAGCAGGCGAAGCAGCAUAAAGAGUAACAGGAGGAAAAUCAAGCACCUCUGCAACAUUAAGAGCCUUAAUAGUAGAGAAUUGGGCAUAGACCUCCUCGUUCGUGGUGCGACUCCGCUUAACACCGUGUCUUUCCAUACUUUUCUGUUUGCAAUCCAUUAUCUUCUUUCUUUGGUAGGGAUCGAAUUCUGACCAACCCUCCAACUUUCAUAAUGGAACGAUUGCUACCCCUCAGAGAUAUUGACAUCAAUGUCGGCCUAAUAUGUCAUCAACAUCUCUUUCGCAAUUGGUUCCAAAGUUCCAACUGCACGCAAUUGUACCAAAACAUACAUUGCCAUUAGGUUGAACCUUAGCUACCUUAUGACAAAAAAAUAAAAUUAAAUAAAAUAAAAACAAUAUGGUUUCUUUACUCACCUU
rnacentral:lncRNA from 1 species